GUGAAAUUGUGCUGCAUGUGCGCUGGGGAAGAUCUCAAAUUUAAUGCAAUGUGUCUUGGAAAUGUUCUCAUUUAUUUUGAUUAUGAAUUAUGUGUGAAGUACAGUUUGUCUUAGUUUGCUUGGAAUACAAUCAUUCCCUGUAAAAAAUGGUUUGUCCAUGUAUAAUAAGGAUCUACAGAUAUUGCAUGUUCCAGUGAAAAAUGACGAUUCGUUAUAGUUUGGAGGAAUACCAGAAGCGCUGAUGCACAGCUAUCCGUCACCCUGAGAUGUUCUGCUUUCAUUGUUUCAGAUGAUUAAUUUGGCACGUAUUCAUGAUAAAUACGGGCUGAAGAAGUUUUGGGAAGAGAAGAUCGAAAGCCACGUUCAGAGGAUAGGAAAUGAAGACUCGAGAAUGAAGAACAGCGCUUUAUCCAAGUUACGUGAGGAGUGGGUCCAGAGGCUUCAGUUUCGGAACCAGCAUGUGAUCGAGAGCAUGAGAGAGCAACAAAUAAGAAGAGCUCAGAGAGUUCAAGGGAUUUUAAGAGUUUAGAUGGCUUGAAUGAUUUUAGCACUUUUCUAACGCACUUCCUAAGAAUGCCUAACAUCAUAUAUCAGUAUAAAGUUCGGUUUCUUUAACUUAAAUGAGUUAAAGAGGUUGUUUUUGCUGCAGCUUUUGGGACAGAAAGCCACUAUUGCAGCCAUACACCAUUAAACACAACGUGAUCCUGCCUUCCAGCAUUCGUCUUUCAUAUAUGGCUCAUUGAUUAGAGUUUUCUUUUCAAUAAAAGUUAAAUAUCAUACGUUCA
ensembl:lncRNA